GACGUUGAUAUUCAACGUCAUAAACAUUCAACUUAGAUGUUUGUGACGUUGAUAUUCAACGUCAUAAACAUUCAACUUAGAUGUUUAUGACGUUGAUAUUCAAUAUUUUCGGCAUAAACAUUCAACUUAGAUGUGAUAUUCAACGUCAUAAACAUUCAACUUAGAUGUUUAUGACGUUGAAUAUCAACGUCAUAAACAUUCAACUUAGAUGUUUAUGACGUCGAAUAUCAACGUCAUAAACAUUCAACUUAGAUGUUUAUGACGUCGAAUAUCAACGUC
rnacentral:miRNA from 1 species